UACGUAGGGGGCAAGCGUUGUCCGGAUUUAUUGGGCGUAAAGAGCGUGUAGGCGGCCAGAUAGGUCGGUUGUGAAAACUGGAUGGCUCAACCUCCAGACGUCGACCGAAACCAUCUGGCUAGAGUCCGGAAGAGGAGAGUGGAAUUCCUGGUGUAGCGGUGAAAUGCGCAGAUAUCAGGAGGAACACCGAUGGCGAAGGCAGGUCUCUGGGCCACUACUGACGCUGAGAAGCGAAAGCAUGGGGAGCGAACAGG
rnacentral:rRNA from 1 species